rnacentral:rRNA from 1 species
GAUGAACGCUGGCGGUGUGCCUAAUACAUGCAAGUCGAGCGAACAGACGAGGAGCUUGCUCCUCUGACGUUAGCGGCGGACGGGUGAGUAACACGUGGAUAACCUACCUAUCAGACUGGGAUAACUUCGGGACACCGGAGCUAAUACCGGAUAAUAUAUUGAACCGCAUGGUUCAAUAGUGAAAGACGGUUUUGCUGUCUCUUAUAGAUGGAUCCGCGCCGCAUUAGCUAGUUGGUAAGGUAACGGCUUACCAAGGCAACGAUGCGUAGCCGACCUGAGAGGGUGAUCGGCCACACGGGAACUGAGACACGGUCCAGACUCCUACGGGAGGCAGCAGUAGGGAAUCUUCCGCAAUGGGCGAAAGCUUGACGGAGCAACGCCGCGUGAGUGAUGAAGGUCUUCGGAUCGUAAAACUCUGUUAUUAGGGAAGAACAAAUGUGUAAGUAACUAUGCACGUCUUGACGGUACCUAAUCAGAAAGCCACGGCUAACUACGUG